rnacentral:rRNA from 1 species
CAAGUCGAGCGCACCCUUCGGGGCGAGCGGCGGACGGGUUAGUAACGCGUGGGAACAUACCCUUCUCUACGGAAUAGCCUCGGGAAACUGAGAGUAAUACCGUAUACGCCCUUCGGGGGAAAGAUUUAUCGGAGAAGGAUUGGCCCGCGUUAGAUUAGAUAGUUGGUGGGGUAAUGGCCUACCAAGUCUACGAUCUAUAGCUGGUUUUAGAGGAUGAUCAGCAACACUGGGACUGAGACACGGCCCAGACUCCUACGGGAGGCAGCAGUGGGGAAUCUUAGACAAUGGGCGCAAGCCUGAUCUAGCCAUGCCGCGUGUGUGAUGAAGGUCUUAGGAUCGUAAAGCACUUUCGCCAGAGAUGAUAAUGACAGUAUCUGGUAAAGAAACCCCGGCUAACUCCGUGCCAGCAGCCGCGGUAAUACGGAGGGGGUUAGCGUUGUUCGGAAUUACUGGGCGUAAAGCGUACGUAGGCGGAUCAGAAAGUAGGGGGUGAAAUCCCAGGGCUCAACCCUGGAACUGCCUCCUAAACUCCUGGUCUUGAGUUCGAGAGAGGUGAGUGGAAUUCCAAGUGUAGAGGUGAAAUUCGUAGAUAUUUGGAGGAACACCAGUGGCGAAGGCGGCUCACUGGCUCGAUACUGACGCUGAGGUACGAAAGUGUGGGGAGCAAACAGGAUUAGAUACCCUGGUAG